rnacentral:rRNA from 1 species
AGAGUUUGAUCCUGGCUCAGGAUGAACGCUAGCGGCAGGCCUAACACAUGCAAGUCGAACGAGAAAGUCACUUCGGUGGUGAUUAAAGUGGCGCACGGGUGAGUAACGCGUAGACAAUCUGCCCUUCAGUCUGGGACAACUUUUCGAAAGGAGAGCUAAUACCGGAUAACAAUGUUUGACAUAAGUUAAAUAUUUGAAAGCUUUAUGUGCUGAAGGAUGGGUCUGCGUCCCAUUAGCUAGUUGGUGAGGUAAAGGCUUACCAAGGCAACGAUGGGUAGCGGGUUUGAGAGGACGAUCCGUCACACUGGAACUGAGACACGGUCCAGACUCCUACGGGAGGCAGCAGUGGGGAAUAUUGCACAAUGGAGGAAACUCUGAUGCAGCAAUGUCGCGUGAGUGAAGAAGGCCCUUGGGUCGUAAAGCUCUUUUAUGGGGGAAGAUGAUGACGGUACCCCAGGAAUAAGCACCGGCUAACUACGUGCCAGCAGCCGCGGUAAUACGUAGGGUGCGAGCGUUGUUCGGAAUUACUGGGCGUAAAGGGCGCGCAGGCGGAAUAGCAAGUCGGAGGUGAAAGCCCGGGGCUCAACCCCGGAGGGUCUUUCGAAACUGCUGAUCUAGAGAGGGUCAGGGGCCAGCAGAAUUCCUGGUGUAGAGGUGAAAUUCGUAGAUAUUAGAAAGAAUACCAGUGGCGAAGGCGACUAUCUGGGCCAACAUUGACGCUGAGGUGCGAAAGCGUGGGUAGCAAACAGGAUUAGAUACCCUGGUAGUCCACGCAGUAAACGAUGAGUGCUAGUCGCUGGAUCUUAUGAUUCGGUGUCUAAGCUAACGCAUUAAGCACUCCGCCUGGGAAGUACGGUCGCAAGAUUAAAACUCAAAUGAAUUGACGGGGGCCCGCACAAGCGGUGGAGCAUGUGGUUUAAUUCGAAGCAACGCGAAGAACCUUACCAGUCCUUGACAUGGUGUGUUUGAGUUACAGUACCGUAACUCUUCAGUUCGGCUGGCACACACACAGGUGCUGCAUGGCUGUCGUCAGCUCGUGUCGUGAGAUGUUGGGUUAAGUCCCGCAACGAGCGCAACCCUCAUUUUUAGUUGCCAUCAGGUUAUGCUGGGCACUCUAAAAAAACUGCCGGUGAUAAGCUGGAGGAAGGCGGGGAUGACGUCAAGUCCUCAUGGCCCUUACGGGCUGGGCUACACACGUGCUACAAUGGUGGUGACAGUGGGAAGCAAUUUCGCAAGAAUGCGCAAAUCUCCAAAAACCAUCUCAGUUCGGAUUGGGCUCUGCAACUCGAGUCCAUGAAGUUGGAAUCGCUAGUAAUCGUAGAUCAGCACGCCGCGGUGAAUACGUUCCCGGGCCUUGUACACACCGCCCGUCACACCAUGGGAGCCGACAAGGGCAGAAGUCGCCGAGCUAACCUUCGGGAAGCAGGCGCCCAAGCUGUUGUUGACGACUGGGGUGAAGUCGUAACAAGGUAACC